rnacentral:lncRNA from 13 species
GUCUGUUGAAAGAUUGUUAAGUAAUUACGGAAGGGAGAAACGUGAAUGACUGCAGGUUAAAUAUCAACCCCAAAUUAAGAUAAAUCAAAUGUGACAUUAUUCUGAUUUGAUUUGAUUGAUUUUUGACCCAGGUCUCAUUCUGUCACCCAGGCUGGAGUGCAGAGGCUUGAUCACGGGACAGGAUCUCUCCAUGGUGCCGAGGCCAGUCUCACACUACUAGCCUCAAGCCAUCCGUCUGCCUGGAUCUCCCAAAGUGCUGGAAUUGCAGGAAAGGCAGCUAAAACGCAGGAACGCUGGCAGCCCCAAACAUCCACUAUCUUCUCUGCUAAGCAUGGUCCUCCUCCCCCAAAAGCCGCUUGUGAUUAACCCGGUAUGUUCCUUUUGUUUUCUGCUUUCAUUCC